rnacentral:lncRNA from 10 species
AAAAUGUUGACUGACCUAAAUAUGAACCUUCUUUUGUCCUUACCCUUGUAUUUUCUCUGAACCACAAAUGCUAGCAGAAAUAGGUACCUUAAACCCUUCGAGCAGGAUGCCCAGUAAAAGCUAGGUAAGGAAGAAAAGAAAACGAUUCCAUGUGCUCUGGCAACAGCUUCCAUGACCACUGCUCGUGGUGAGUUCUAAUGGCUAAUGGCUGACAGUGAUGGCUAGAGAGCCAGGUCCAUCAUUAUAGGAAGAUGGGCUUACACAGGAGGUUGAUAUUGGUAUUAUCGCUUUGCCCAUCUCCUGCUUUAGCAAAUACUAGUACAAUGAAAACUGGGAGCAGGACAGGGAAAGACAUAAUAAACAGUUAUAUUACCUAACAUUCUAACUGUCAAAGGGUACAUCAUUUUCAUCUUAAAAUAAAAUCUAAAACCUUCGUGACAAUUUGAAUGUAAAAUGAAGACUCUCUUCAUAAACCAAACUUCCCUUCUUUGACAUUUCUAUUAUCACUAAUUUUCAAAAAUGUACAGUAGAUCUUGCUAAGCAACAAUAAAACCACCCAUGUUACAAGUUUAGUUUUAUGUAACACUCCAUAUGGUGGAUUCAUAAUAAAUUUCUACUGGGAAUACAAUCAUAAACCACUAUUUUCUGCUAUAAAAAACCAUUAAAGCACAGGCAUGCACAAAAAGGUAAUCUGCAAUAAAUUUGGAAAUGUUAAAAUACCACAAAUGUAAAUAUAUUCUGCCCCAUUGCAAUGCAUGUAAUUUCCAUAGCUUUAUUAGAAAUCUUGCCUUAGCAGUGGUUUGGCCGAUAGGUUAUAAAUAUAGUAGGAAUGAGUCAGCAUGCAAAUCCCUUCUGUGAAAAAACAAUUUGAAAGGUUUUAUAGCCCAAAGCUGUUUAUUAUUUUGUAGAAUAGUAAUGCAAGUUUCUGUUUGGAACCUGCUGAGAAGAGAAUUCUCAAAAUAUCUUGUUUAUAAAACAGCAAGGGGGAAACAUCGGCAACUUUAAAAUAAAAAAGAACAUGAUUUAUGUAAGGCCAUAGAAAUAGGAUGUCCCAAAUAAAGUCUGUAACUGAUGGAGUGUGCACACGUUAGGGUUGCACAAGAGGUGAUCAACAUAUCCCACCGCGAAGAGGAAAGCAGCAUUAACCUGGAACAUUUGAAUCCUGGGGCAGACAGGUAAAUGUCUUUGGAGAUGGGAGGAGAUAAGGUCAUAGAGGUAAGGAAUUGAGAAGUGAAUUAAGGAAAGAACUGUCAGGAACAACUGCAGGAGAGGAUGGCAUGAGGAAGAGAAAUUGGCAGAGCAGGGGGUCACUGUGAUACAAAGAAUCUGAGGCCAACACAGGGGCUCUGAAGAGAGCAGCAAACUAUAAAAAAGUUUAUAGCCAGUGAAGGGGACAAGGCCAAAGAUGCAAGAGACAGAAGGCAUUCCCAACAGGGUGUGAGGUUCAGGUGGGACAAGAAGGAGGCAGGCUCAGAGACGCAGAGGGGGGGAUUCCUUUAGACAGGAGGUGGAGCUGUUUUCUUAGAAAGGGCGAAACUACCAAAGAUAAAAUCUGCAGAGAGUAAGGAAAGAAGUUGGUGGAACUGAGGCCCGAUGGCUUUGGACCAAUUCAGAAAACCAAGAGGCAAACUCAGCUUAUGACUUUCUUAAAGCACUGAGUUCCUGAAAAAGUGCCAAACUGAAUGGUGCAGUCCUGCCGAAAGAGACCCUGCGCUGUGCUGUGUUCUCAAAGGAAGGAAUGUGUUUCACAUCUCUACACCUCUGCAACUUGGGACAGUGUAGCUUUCCUAUUUUCUGGCACCCAAAAAGGGACAGCUGAUACACCCCACUCACUCCAGACUCUGCAGAUGAGAUCUGGGACAACUGACAAAAAGCUGGAGACAGUCUGGAAGAUGCUGCCCUGCCUACAUAAGGACAUGACGACCUUGUAACCUCACUUGAAUCUUUGGUCAUACAAUCUCUCGUAUUCUGAAGAUUCACCUGGUACACCAAUUGUUUGAAACUCAAAUACUCUGUUCUCUUGAAUCGAUGUUAACCAUGAGUAAGUUACUAGGCUACAGGCCCUACAAAACCAUAACAACAAAAAAGAAAUCAAUAUUAAUACAUAAUUAUAGAAGGAAAACUUAAAUUAAAUUAGAAAGUUAAUUCUUUUAUUAAUUUGCCUGGAAUUUUAGCUUGAGGAAAAAUGGACUUAAUGAAAGGAAAAGGAGGUGGAAGGGAGCUUUGGGUAAAGCAGAUGAGGACUUCUGGGUAUUUUCAAGGGCUUUAAAGGUCAGUUUUAUUCCAUUCCAUUUUGAAUUUAUAGAUUUUUUUUUCCAAAUGAAGAAAUAUUUUAUAACUCUUUACAUUUUUUAAAACUGCUUUCAACAUGAAGUUUCAUUUGUGAGAGCAACAAAAUGAGUGGAGAUUUUAUCAGGCAACCACACUAGAUGAAUUCCAGCAACUCAUAAAUUGGCAAUUGGGAAGAGAUUACUGCUGCCCUAGCUCAAAACCUCACUACCCAGAGUUGGUCAGGGGCAUCAGCAUCACCUAGGAGCUGGUUAACAAUGCAGAAUUGCAGCUCCUGGUCCUAGGGAAUUGGAAUCUGCAUUUAACAAGAUCCCAAAGGGGUUCACAGGCAGUUUGAGAAGCAAUGCUUCUGCCACUGAACAAGCGUAACUUUAUGAAAUAAAAUGGCUAACCAAGGGAAAGUGCUCAUAAAGAAUAUACACUUGAUUUUCAUUUCCAACAACAUGGCAAAUUGAGCUAAGAAGAUCCUCUUGACAAAGAUACUAGAGGUGUAGAUAAACUAUUAAGUGUUUUCUAAAAGCCAAACUCAAAAGACAAAGGGAAAUUUCCAGAUACCCCCCAAAACACAAUGAAAUUCAUAGCAUGAACUAAUGCAGCAGAAUCCCAGGGGGUAUCAGACAUGGUGAGAGGCUCUAACAGCAAGGAACUAGAAUCAUGAAAUCCCCCUGAAAAAUCAGAGAUGAGGCCUUGAACCCAAGUGUGAGCUAGAACUCACACACUGCCUGCUUUGUGUAAGGGGAACAGGAGAACUUCCCAAGAGGGCCCAGGGUAGAAGCAAAGAAGCUUCAGGUCUGGUGGGCUCCAAAGCCCUAGCAUGUGCCACAUGCAGAUAUGGACUCCAAAUAAAUAUCAUCCACAUGGUGUUGGGAUCUUAAACUCAUAAAAUACUGCAAAAAUUCAUCCUAGACAAAUGAAACCCUUGGGAUACUCAGCCAUGGCAAAUAUAAAACCUAUAAAGAUAUUUCCACAGAACUGAACAUACAUGAUUCAUACAAAUCAAAAAUAAUUCCAGUUGAAAAUAAGCCCACACACAAAAAUUAAAGCCACAUAAAAAAGGGAUUCAUUAUAAGGAGACAUUAUCAGGUACUACAAUCAGUGGAUUAGCAUGCCCCAGAACAUGAGAUAACAGAACAAUUCAAAAGGGACUAUUGUUUGAGUUUAGCUUCAGAGCAAUUUACUAGCAGACAAUUUAUAGAUUUUUUUAAAAAGUGAGGCUAACGGAUAGCUUACAGAUGAGGAAAUUGAAGCUGAGAGAGACAGAGUGCUAAUAAGGAUUGAGAACUUAUAAUAAAUUU